UACGAAGGGGGCUAGCGUUGUUCGGAAUUACUGGGCGUAAAGCGCGCGUAGGCGGUUUUGCAAGCCAGAGGUGAAAUGCCUGAGCUCAACUCGGGAAUGGCCUUUGGGACUGCGAGGCUUUGAGGACUGGAGAGGUGAGUGGAAUUCCCAGUGUAGAGGUGAAAUUCGUAGAUAUUGGGAAGAACACCGGUGGCGAAGGCGGCUCACUGGCCAGUUUCUGACGCUGCAGCGCGAAAGCGUGGGGAUCAAACAGG
rnacentral:rRNA from 1 species